rnacentral:rRNA from 1 species
UAGGGAAUAUUGGUAAUGUGCGAAAGCGCGAACCAGCAACGCCGCGUGCACGAUGAAGGCCUUCGGGUCGUAAAGUGCUUUUAGAGAGGAUGAGGAAGGACAGUACUUUCUGAAUAAGCACCGGCUAACUUCGUGCCAGCAGCCGCGGUAAUACGAAGGGUGCAAGCGUUACUCGGAAUUACUGGGCGUAAAGCGUGCGUAGGCGGUCUGUUAAGUCUGCUGUGAAAUCCCCGGGCUCAACCUGGGAAUGGCAGUGGAAACUGGCGGGCUAGAGUACGGUAGAGGAUGGUGGAAUUCCCGGUGUAGCGGUGAAAUGCGUAGAGAUCGGGAGGAACACCAGUGGCGAAGGCGGCCAUCUGGACCAGUACUGACGCUGAGGCACGAAAGCGUGGGGAGCAAACA